GCCCUCGUAGCUCAGGGGACAGAGCGCCGGUCUCCGGAACCGGGUGCGCAGGUUCGAGUCCUGCCGAGGGCG
rnacentral:tRNA from 2 species